rnacentral:lncRNA from 1 species
AUGGAGUGGAUGCAGAUGAUCAAUGGCAUGUAUUUCAGGAAGAUGGAGAGGAAGGAGGUGGUACUUCAUGAGAAGGAAUUUCUGCAAAUCAGAGCCAAAGACACAGACUCAAGGCUUCUCAACUCAGGAACUUUCAAGAUACACCUUUCUGACCCAAUGGUUUGCAGUAUCCCCAGCCUGGAGAUGUUAGGAAUCCACAGGAAGGCACCCCAGAGCCUGGCCUCUGAUUUGGUCUUCUCCAUGAAAGAUUCUGCACAGCCCUCUCCAAGAAACAUUCAAGAUUUGAAGAAAGCAGCUGUUGAGCUGAAACAGCUAAAUGAGCAUUCAUGAACCCUGGAGACCAUUCAGCCUCACUGCAAGUUUCACUGUCACUAAUUCAUGGAGUUUUCUUAUGGGUCCAGCAGUGAGAAUGAAUGAAAGGUCUCAGGUAGAGGCCACCAUCAUUAACCAGUAGACUGUGACUCCUCCACCUCCAUGGGCAGCCUGUGCCAAUGCAUUACCACUCCUUCUGAGUAGUUCCUAAUAUCCAAUCUGAACCUCUCCUCAUGCAACAGAGUAUGGUGAAUUCAUUUAUUAUUUCAGAUCUACAUUGACCAAGAUCUUCAGAGCCACCUAGCUCUUCUGUCUGUAUUUCUUGUGAUGUGGGCUGUGUAGACUGCACAUAGUUUGUCAAAUUCUUCAUGGGCUCCUUAUGGACAACAGUUUCUAUAUGGAUUUACUCCCUGUAGUGUUGAAGUACAGCAUGGGGAAUGGAAAGCAUCCAAGGGUGGAGAAUAUUAAGUAACAUUUCAGGUUUUCACCCCUCAGGCUCGUGUGUUCUUUGAAAAUAAGCCUGGGGUUCCUCAAUUAGUUGGGGAAAAAAAGUAUUUGAAGAAGGAUUUGAAAAAUGUAGAUAAAGAAGGGGAUUGGCUGCACAGGUAAUUCUCCGUCAUAGCCAUGAGCACCUCAUCCAUCUCCCAGCCAUUCCCAUUGCAUUUAAAUAGAGCUUUUAUAAUGAAGCAUUGAGAGGUGAGAGAAGGGGGUUAAUGUACUACUUUGUUACUGCUGGAGAUAUUAUUUCCAAUUUGAUGGAGGUCAUGUGAAAAUGAGUGUGGUUGUCUCCACCGAUUCUUCAGGGCACAUCUGGUGGCUAAUUUCCUUUUACAUGAGUUGAAAAUCAGCAUCAGAAACUUUGGCAGAUGAGACUGCUCGUAUCCUCUUGGUUUUAUUUAACGUUAUAUUCUUAUUACCUGGACUUUACUCUUCUGGUGUGAUGCAUUUUCCCCCCUUCAGACACAGCAAACUAAUGAUUAUCCAGAGGCCUGUAGAGCAUACAAAUGGGGCUGAGUUA